CAUUGCUAGUGCAAGCUAAGUUGGUGGCAAAAUUAGCUUCGCAGCCAGUCAGACACUAGAGGAGGGAGAAUUCCGCUGCGAUUUUUGUCUUCCAACAACUACACCCGAACUCGAGAGCAGAAGUCAGUGAGCUCCCGACCUCUGGAGGACAAAGGCCAGUCCUGCAUGUGUCCACGCUGAGCUCACUGGGCACCUGGCCAGUAGGGUUCACUGUAGAGCGAUGAGGAGAAACAGUCCCUGUCGGUUUUACCUCCCUAACCCACAGGAGCACCUGGGCCAAUGGGACGCUCCCUUUGGAGUCUCCAGUGAAGACCGGCCUAAUUCGCACAGCCAGGACGCAAACCUCCGCUGUAUGACUCACCCUGCACACCACAUGGCUGCGAUUCUACCAGACGGCUAACAUGUAUCCAGAGCUGUCGUCUUGGGCCAGCACAAAGCCGGAACAACACUACGCCAUAGUCACUUAAUAAAUUGUUAUCACCCACCACAAGCACUACUGCAUGCACCCGGACUGGUGACCAUGUCCAGUAUUAUUGUGGGGCAGAUAACAUGUAUUUAUUGUUUGGGCUGCAACCCAUUAUUAUUGUUACCUCCGUGCAUUACACAUUGGUGUGUAUUGCCGGAGGUUAUUGUUUGGU